AAAAAAUAGAAAAAGACAUCAAUGGGUAGUUAUGUGUUCACUGGGUAUGUUGUUUUUUUUUUUUUUUUUUCUUAUUCUUCUUGCAUGUGAUAUAAUGUAAUGUUUGUGGUGAAACCACUGUUGGUGAUUCUGAUUUGAGUUCGGACAACAUUGAAUUGCCAUCUUACCCAACCUGAAGUUACAAG